GAUGAAGAACGUAGCGAAAUGCGAUACGUAAUGUGAAUUGCAAAUUCAGUGAAUCAUCGAGUCUUUGAACGCACAUUGCGCCCCCUGGUAUUCCGGGGGGCAUGCCUGUCCGAGCGUCAUUGCUGCCCUCAAGCACGGCUUGUGUGUUGGGCCCCGUCCUCCGAUCCCGGGGGACGGGCCCGAAAGGCAGCGGCGGCACCACGUCCGGUCCUCGAGCGUAUGGGGCUUUGUCACCCGCUCUGUAGGCCCGGCCGGCGCUUGCCGAUCAACCCAAAUUUUUAUCCAGGUUGACCUCGGAUCAGGUAGGGAUACCCGCUGAACUUAAGCAUAUCAAUAAGCGGAGGA
rnacentral:misc_RNA from 1 species